rnacentral:rRNA from 1 species
GAUGAACGCUAGCGACAGGCUUAACACAUGCAAGUCGAGGGGUAACAGGGUAGCAAUACCGCUGACGACCGGCGCACGGGUGAGUAACGCGUAUGCAACCUGCCUAUAACUGGGGAAUAGCUCCCUGAAAGGGGAAUUAACACCGCAUAACACUAUUGAUUCGCAUGGAUUGGUAGUUAAAUGUAGCGAUACAGGUUAUAGAUGGGCAUGCGUGACAUUAGCUAGUUGGUGAGGUAACGGCUCACCAAGGCUACGAUGUCUAGGGGUUCUGAGAGGAAGGUCCCCCACACUGGUACUGAGACACGGACCAGACUCCUACGGGAGGCAGCAGUGAGGAAUAUUGGUCAAUGGGCGCAAGCCUGAACCAGCCAUGUCGCGUGCAGGAAGACUGCCCUAUGGGUUGUAAACUGGCUUUUAUAGUAGAAGAAACACAUCUACGUGUAGAUGUCUGCCGUAUCUAUGAAUAAGC